UACGGUUACCUUGUUACGACUUAGUCCCAGUCACCGGGCUUACCGUCGGCCGCCGCCCCCCUUGCGGGUUAGCUAAACGGACUUCGGGUACUCCCAGCUUCCAUGACUUGACGGGCGGUGUGUACAAGGCUCAGGAACACAUUCACCGCGCCGUGGCUGAUGCGCGAUUACUAGCGAUUCCAACUUCAUGGAGUCGAGUUGCAGACUCCAAUCCGAACUGGGGCUGCUUUUCUGCGAUUUGCUCCACCUCGUGGUAUCGCGUCGCUCUGUAGCAGCCAUUGUAGCACGUGCGACACCCUGGACAUAAAGGCCAUGAUGACUUGACGUCGUCCCCACCUUCCUCCGGCUUGACGCCGGCGGUCUCGCUAGAGUCCCCGGCAUGACCCGCUGGCAACUAGCGACAGGGGUUUCGCUCGUUGAGGGACUUAACCCGACACUUCACAGCACGAGCUGACGACAGCCAUGCAGCACCUGUGCGCGUUUCACCCGAAGGCAGCCUGCUCCCCUUUCAGGAAGAGCAUCCGCGCAUGUCAAACCCAGGUAAGGUUCUUCGCGUUGCUUCGAAUUAAUCCACAUGCUCCACCGCUUGUGUGAGCCCCCGUCAAUUCCUUUGAGUUUUAGCCUUGCGGCCGUACUCCCCAGGCGGCGC
rnacentral:rRNA from 1 species